rnacentral:rRNA from 1 species
UACGUAGGGGGCAAGCGUUGUCCGGAAUCAUUGGGCGUAAAGAGCGUGUAGGCGGUCCGGUAAGUCAGCUGUGAAAGUCAAGGGCUCAACCCUUGAAUGCCGGUUGAUACUGUCGGGCUAGAGUCCGGAAGAGGCGAGUGGAAUUCCCGGUGUAGCGGUGAAAUGCGCAGAUAUCGGGAGGAACACCAAUGGCGAAGGCAGCUCGCUGGGACGGUACUGACGCUGAGACGCGAAAGCGUGGGGAGCGAACAGG